rnacentral:misc_RNA from 1 species
GAAAUGCGAUAAUUAAUGUGAAUUGCAGAAUUCAGUGAAUCAUCGAGUCUUUGAACGCACAUUGCGCCCUCUGGUAUUCCGGGGGGCAUGCCUGUCCGAGCGUCAUUGCUGCCCUCAAGCACGGCUUGUGUGUUGGGCUUCCGUCCCUGGCAACGGGGACGGGCCCAAAAGGCAGUGGCGGCACCAUGUCUGGUCCUCGAGCGUAUGGGGCUUUGUCACCCGCUCCCGUAGGUCCAGCUGGCAGCUAGCCUCGCAACCAAUCUUUUUAACCAGGUUGACCUCGGAUCAGGUAGGGAUACCCGCUGAACUUAAGC